AACUAGAUAAUAAAUCUAGUUAUCUUAUACUAGUACAUAUACUGCAUGUGUUAAGGUUUUGCAACCAAUGGUAACUCAAUGUUCAUUGCAGAUAUUGGGUACCUCAGCUUUAUUGAGAAUUUGCAUUGUUUUAAAUGUAAAACAGUUUUACACGGGUGAUGGUCAGCAUUGCUAUAGAUAGGUUUACUUCUGUGUUGUGAUCACAGUCAUUGGAAUCAUCAGUGAUUUUUAUCUAUUGAUUACUUAGUCAAGCCAACUAUAUUCUUACCAGAUAUGAUUUUUAUGUUAAAACCACCAUGUACAAAUGUUUGAAUUUUGUUCUCUCUUACUCUAUUAAGUUAUGAUGUUGAUAAAGAGGAAUUAAUCAU
rnacentral:sRNA from 1 species